GAGUACCAGGAUGGAGACUCAGAAACAGGCGAGUAGUGAGUCGUCUGGGCGAUGAGCUAGAGGAGGAUGAGAGUCAGAGAGAGGGGAGACAGCAAGACGUUCAGAAGCAGUUCAGGCCCUGGAAGGAAUGCAGGGAGCAAAGGCUGUGGCGGGGAAGGGUCUUUGUGGGUCCUUGCAGGGUCCCAGGAAGGUGAGGAUGAGAGCCCUAGAGCCACUUCUUGCUCUUAGGCCAAGGCCUGACUCCGGAGGGGAGCUGAGGAGGCCACCUAUGCAGCAGGGAUGGGCGCCAGCCCUCCUCCCCCAGCUCCUGGCACCUGCAGGGGUGUGCCCAUCAGGGUGGGGGGCAGGCUAAGCUGCGUCCUAGCUCCGAGCGCAGGAGCUAGUGGGGUUUCUUCGGAGCGAUUGUUUAGUAUUCAUGGGGCGACGCAAUCUCUCCCACAUCUGCUUAGCACAGCAAGUCCUGUCAUAUAACUGUCUCCCGCACUGUCUGUCCAUAAAGAAUGUCUCGGAAUUGGUGUAAUUCAGAGAAAUUAAUGACGACUUUCCGCGGGACGGCUCCCUGGGGGAUGAUUAACACUUCAUCGUCCAUCUGAUGCGCGGGGCCCAGCGCUCCAUCGCGAACAUUUGGGCCGUGGCCAGCCGCAUUAAAGACCAGCCUCUCAGCCUUUUACAAGAUUGCCCCAUACUGUCCUCGUCUGGGAAGCCCUCCUUGACUGAUCCUCCUGGUUCAGGAUCCCAAACUUUUUCUUCCGAAACCACUGCCCAGGUGCUUGCAGGCCUCUUCCUAUUCUUCUCUUUCCUGGUCCCCAUGUACCAGCGCCUCCCUGUGAGCAGGGGUGUCUUCUCCUCUCUAGGUAUCUGCCUCCUUUCUUCUUUCCUGUCUCCCAAGACCCCUCUUCAUGAACCAGGAGAAUCAAUACUGCAGGGGAGGUGGCCAGAACCCUUCCCCGUUUGAUGUUUUCUGGGAAUGGCAGGGGUCAUGGAGUCCCGUUGCGUCUCACGGUCUCAUACUGAGGAGCGGGAGGUGGUGCGGACCCUUUCCCUGACCAGAUCUCCGUGGCUUACUCUGGUGUAGCCACCCCCCCUCCCCGCGCCCCACUCCUCCUGCUCUGGUUGCCCCCUGCCAUGUUAACAGCUCUAGGCUGCUGUGCUGGAGCCCCUGGGAUGCUGGGUGUGGUGGGGCAGUGGCCGGCGGCCCCUCUGUGAUUCUCAGAUUCUCGUCUUGGGGCUCUCAUCACACCUGACUGCCCGCUCCCCGACGGAAGCCCUCUGUUAGUGUUCGUCAGGUUUCCCUUUCCUUCUCCCACCCAAUCCUCACCCAGCCCAUUUACCAGAAGAGCUGGAGUCCUUCCAGAAAGUUUGUCCUUUCCUGGGACCCUCGGGGUGGGCAGCCCCCAGGUGAGGAGGGGGUGAGUGGAGACUGGGUGGAGGCCAGGGUCCUGGCUAGAUCUAGUGAGGCGCCAGGUUUAGCUCUGGAUCAAUCGAUGCUUUGGCCGCCACCUUGUGGCAGAUACGGAGAACUGCAGGGUUGGGGUCCCAGCGCUGAGAGUGGGACCUUCUGGAAAGGGAGGAGGAGAUGAUCGCAGGGGUGUACAUUAUGAGGGUAGCAAACCUCAGAUUUCCAAAUUGCCAUUAGGGUCUUCCUAUUCCUGCCUGACAGGGAAGUAGAAACCGGCCAAGUAGCAAGGACACUUAUGGAUGGAGACAGAAUUGAAACUCUGGCCUCAAGUCCCAAACCUAUUGUUCUAAUCCUCCUUUCCUAAAACAGAAACAAAACGAAAACAAAAACCAAAACCCUAAAAGGGAAACAGUCUGAAACUGAAGCAGGAGGAGCUGAGGUCUGAUCUGCGGAAGUUCCAGUAAGUCCCAAAGUGUAUUUGGAUGCUACUGCCUGUGAGCCUGCACGGCUUUCUCGCAGCUACUCUCGAUCCGGUCAGCGAGUCUCCCACCUUAAUCCCAUCAUGCUAAGUUCAUCGGUCCUAUUCAGAAAAUCCCAGGUUCCGUAGCCUUUCCACCCCAUCCUGGCUUGUUCCUAUAACCAAGAUGCUGAUCUGGAAAGUCCCGUCUCCGGUCUAACUCCAAUCCUUCCGACAGCACUGGAAAUGCAGAGAACCACCAUAUAGCUAUCAGAGCUGCAGAUGGGCAGCCGGCACCCUAAGAAAGUGGGGAAGACGAGGAGGGUUCCAAGGAAAGGCAGCUCUGCCUCAGUUUCUCCUGCCAUCUUCCUUGCCCCUGCCCCCUUGGAUCCUUGGAGAAGAAGGGGAUGCAACAGAGUGGUCUACCUCCCUGGAGAAUUAUCUCUGCUUGGGUUCCAGGAUUCACAGGUGCUAGGGGAAGGGAACCUCUGAGUUCCAACCAUGAGCCUUGUUAUCCUCCUUUGUAGAAUGGGUACUGUGGAGGGUGAAGACGGAGGCAUUUGUCUCUAUCAGCCUUCUUGUCUCACUUAGAGUCCCUCUGAAGCCGUUUUCUGUCUUUCCACUUAAAUCCCAGGCCCUCAGAAGCUCUUAUAAUGAUUCUUAGAGCUCCUACAUCACUCCCUCUCGGUCCAGCUCCCUUCUCCGGUGAGCCAAGGCCCACCAAAUCCUCCCUCUGCUUCCUUUGGCACUUCUCGGAGAUUUUGGCCAGGAGCACCGGCUCUGCAGGCCCAGCGCCCUCCCUCUGAGGUGCCAUUCCUCCCCUGCCUCAUUUGCUGCCGCUGACCUUACUGAGUUAAAUUAAAAAGCAAUGUUCUGUGUGCGGCUCCAGCCCUGUGGAGCUUGACUCUGGGAAGACGAAGACAAUUACUGGCCCCUCCAUCUCCCUCUCGUCUGGCUGCCUUAUAAUUUUUCCCCCUGCUGCCUGGUAUGCAACAUUUAUGUUUUUAAUAACACCAGAAUGGUUUUGACCUUGGGAAUUCAUAGCAGACUGGGCACUGAGAGAGGCCCCGACGUGAUUGGCGUUUGUCUCAGUCCUUUGCAGGGAGGAGGCUCUAGCGCCUCCUGGAUUCGGGGGAAGGGGAGUAGGGGCUGCACCCCACAGGGUUUAAGUAGAAAUCUCAAAAACAAGAGUGGACAAGGACAUGGGGAGGAGGGAAAGAGAGGGGGAGGGUGUUGUCUUUUUAGGUUUCCCCUGGAGGAUGAAAGUUAGAGUAAGGUGUUUGAGAGGUUGGGAUGUUUUUCUCCCCUUGUUUUAUAGGAGGAAUCCUAGAUUGGGGAUGGCAUGGAGUACGUGUGUUGGGGGGUAAUGGGGAACGGGUGGUGUGUGAUGCAAGUGUAUACACUCACUCAGCCCAUCAGCCCACAAGCUUGCGCAUAUGCCCCCAACACAAUCGGUUCCAUUUCUUGUCAUUUACUCUCAGCUCCUUUAGCUCUUGAGCUUCAAGGAGAGUAGAUAAAGUGAGGACUAGCUACAGGACUAAGGUCAGACUCAAAGUAGAACUUACCAGCUGAGAGUAAAGUGGGCAGGGGCAGAGUCCUCUUCUGGCUGUAGACAGAUUUUCUACCUUUCUUCCUUUCUCUUUUCUGUGCCCACCUCCCUGGGUAGCUCAGCUUUUGAGAUGAAAGGAGAACUAGUGGCAGCAAGAAUCUGGAGGAGGCAUAGGUUGCUCAGCAGAGGGACGGGAGAGGUGAGAAGCAGUGAAGGGACCAGGUGAGGGGAUGCCUGGGAAGAGAGGGCUAAUCCUGUCCAGGCUUGUCCUCCAGCUGUAGAGGGCUAUGGUAGGAUGGACCAAGGCUAGAGCUGGCAAAAGGCUUCUGUGUCUACAGCUUCGAGGAGCUUCUGGAACUACCAUGAAAAACCCACAUUAUAAAGAAGAGAAGCUUCUUCUGCAGUUCAGAAAGUAGGAAGAGAAGGGACAGAGGGCCAAGUACCUGAGGAUGGGGGUGCACAGCCAGCCGGCUACAGUACACAUCUGUGUCCUGGGUUAACAGUCUUGUGUGCACCAGUUACACAUGUAAACAUGUGGAACAGUGUAGCUUUGGCAUGGAUUUUUUUUUUUUUUUUUUUUUUGAGACAGAGUUUUGCUCUUGUUACCCAGGCUGGAGUGCAAUGGCGUGAUCUCAGCUCACCGCAACCUCUGCCUCCUGGGUUCAGGCAAUUCUCCUGCCUCAGCCUCCUGAGUAGCUGGGAGGCAUGGAUUGUUUAAGCCGUGGAUUUGAGAUGAUGUCUGGUUGUGGCCUGUUGGGUAUGGUUUUAUUUCAGGAGCUGCAGCUGACAGAAUGGGAAGGCCCCUGUGCUGAGAACCAAGAAGUCAUGGGUUCUAGUUCUAGCUCCAGUUAUCAGCUGGGACCCUAGGGAAUGUCACGGAGGAGAGUGGGUGUCAUCUGCUAUAUCAUGAAGGAAAAGCUACGGGCUCCUUCUGUGCCAGCAGACCCAGUGCUAGGAGAAUGAGAAAUUGAAGGGUGGCUUGGGAGAGUGUUGGCAUUUCAGGGACUAGAGAGCUUGAGAAGGGAUGCAAGGAUUCCUGAGUUCAGAAAUUCAGGAGUUCUUGCUCGAGCUGAAGAUGCCCCCAGCCUAGGGCAGCCCAGCUUGGCCUUGCCUGGAUUCCAGACAGCCUCCAGGGCCCACGUCUGGAUCUGCAGGGAGCUCUGUUCUCUGCCGCCCUCCUGUGGCCGCUGAGCCCUUCGCAGGUCGCUGCUGAGAAGAUUCUGCUCCUCCGCAGAGCUGCGUUCCUCGCCCCCUGGUGGAAAUCGCAUAUAUUACAAGUAGCGAUCUUGGGUUUCUAACCGGUUUCCCAUCAGUUUCCCUAGUGUUGGAGGCAUCGACAGCCUCUUCAAAGCAGGGAAGGUCUUCCGGAGAUUUACCACUCUACACCUUUGCCUGGAGUUUUAACUUCUGGUUUUGGAACAAGGGGCUGAAAUUGAACAGAGGGCAAUUUCUCUUCUUUCUCUUUGGGUUUCAUCUACAACCCUGUAUUCCUAGGGUGGCUGUUUUAAAAUCAGGGUCUGGUGACAUUCCUGGAGAAAAUGGGUCUGGAGCAGACCAGGCAUUGUGCGUCUGGGCUUCUUGGCAGUUGCACCUGAGCGCAGUCCGUCAGUGUCGGAAGGGAGAUGAAUUGGCAGGAGCCAGGAGGCAGGAGGCAGGGAUGAUGGAGGGAGAUGGCAUAUUUGACAGAUGCUGACACGGCUCGUUAUUUGCUAGCUCUGGAAUACCCUCCCACCCACCAGGCUGCCCUUGGCCCUCCCCUCCCUGCACUCAAUACUCAUUAGUGAUUGCCUGUCUUUGGGGGAGAAACCCAGUGGGCCAAGCUGCAUGGGGGUGGGCAAGGGAGGGAGAGGAAGAGGAAGGGGCAGGGACAGAAGGCAGAUGCUGGAGGAGCCUUGGCUGGAAUAACUGGGAUUUGGAGCUGAGGUCUGAUGACCACUGGGGUGCUUGGAAGGUGUGGCUGGGAUAUUAUCCAGGGGCCAGAUACUGAGUUGCUGCUGGUGGUGGGUCAGGAGGCAUAUUUAAAGGAAUUGAGUUCCCUGAUUUAGGCACUGAUUUUGGGAGAACUGAUAAAACAGGAGCCGACCAUUUUACCGAGGACUUACUAUGUACAGGGCAGGUCUACAGGUGCUACGAGGGGAUAAAAGAGGCACGCCACGUAUUUCCUGCCCCUUCCUGUGUGUUGAAACCUGCACAUCUCCUCCCUGCACUUGUUGCUGCGUGUGCGGCUGAGGGGUCAAGGUGCUGCUGGGCUGGGAAUGCGGACACAACGCCCCCAAGCAGUUUCUCACCUUCCCACACCCCCUUCCAGUAAAGCUCCUCCAGUAGGCUUCCCACCUCUCCUCAUUCCU
rnacentral:lncRNA from 1 species